rnacentral:rRNA from 1 species
CCAGAGAACUUAGCAGAGAUGCUUUGGUGCCUUCGGGAACUCUGAGACAGGUGCUGCAUGGCUGUCGUCAGCUCGUGUUGUGAAAUGUUGGGUUAAGUCCCGCAACGAGCGCAACCCUUAUCCUUUGUUGCCAGCGGCUCGGCCGGGAACUCAAAGGAGACUGCCGGUGAUAAACCGGAGGAAGGUGGGGAUGACGUCAAGUCAUCAUGGCCCUUACGGCCAGGGCUACACACGUGCUACAAUGGCGCAUACAAAGAGAAGCGACCUCGCGAGAGCAAGCGGACCUCAUAAAGUGCGUCGUAGUCCGGAUUGGAGUCUGCAACUCGACUCCAUGAAGUCGGAAUCGCUAGUAAUCGUAGAUCAGAAUGCUACGGUGAAUACGUUCCCGGGCCUUGUACACACCGCCCGUCACACCAUGGGAGUGGGUUGCAAAAGAAGUAGGUAGCUUAACCUUCGGGAGGGCGCUUACCACUUUGUGAUUCAUGACUGGGGUGAAGUCGUAACAAGGUAAGCGUAGUGCU